GUAGGGAAUCUUGCGCAAUGGGCGAAAGCCUGACGCAGCCAUGCCGCGUGAAUGAUGAAGGUCUUAGGAUUGUAAAAUUCUUUCACCGGGGACGAUAAUGACGGUACCCGGAGAAGAAGCCCCGGCUAACUUCGUGCCAGCAGCCGCGGUAAUACGAAGGGGGCUAGCGUUGCUCGGAAUUACUGGGCGUAAAGGGCGCGUAGGCGGACAGCUUAGUCAGAGGUGAAAGCCCAGGGCUCAACCUUGGAAUUGCCUUUGAUACUGGCUGUCUUGAGUUUGGGAGAGGUGAGUGGAACUCCGAGUGUAGAGGUGAAAUUCGUAGAUAUUCGGAAGAACACCAGUGGCGAAGGCGACUCACUGGCCCAAUACUGACGCUGAGGCGCGAAAGCGUGGGGAGCAAACAGGAUUAGAUACCCGGGUAGUCC
rnacentral:rRNA from 1 species